UCGGAAAUAAUAUAAAGGAAUUAUGGAGGAUUUUAAUUCCUUUUGUGUAGGUUCAACUCCUGCUUUUCUAC
rnacentral:tRNA from 1 species